CGAAUUGUAGUUUAUAGAAGUGUUUUUCUGAGGCAGCUCGGGCAUAUGUCGUUUGGAAAAACGCAUCAAAGAGGGUGAGAAUCCCGUAUUUGGCCUGAAGUCUGUCUCUUUGUGAUGCACUUUCUAAGAGUCGAGUUGUUUGGGAAUGCAGCUCUAAAUGGGUGGUAAAUACCAUCUAAAGCUAAAUAUUGGCGAGAGACCGAUAGCGAACAAGUACCGUGAGGGAAAGAUGAAAAGAACUUUGAAAAGAGAGUUAAAAGUACGUGAAAUUGUUAAUAGGGAAACGUUUGGAACCAGUGUUGCGAGCAGUAAUCAGCCGUUGCUUCCGCAGCGGUGCACUUGCUGUGAGCAGGUCAACAUCAGUUUCGAGCGGGGUAAAAAGCUUCGAAAGGGCCCUCGGGCCAAGUCGUAGUCAUGCCUUGCUUGGGACUGACGAAUUCUGCGCAAGCAGGAUGUUGACGAAAUGGUUUCAAGCGACCCGUCUUGAAACACGGACCAAGGAGUCUAACAAAUAUGCGAGUAUUUGGGUG
rnacentral:rRNA from 1 species